rnacentral:rRNA from 1 species
GUGCAUGCCUACAAUAUAUUGUUAAUGCACCAGAUCCCAUUAGAUCUCUACAGUUAAGCGCGCUCAUGCUAGAGUAGUACUGGAAUGGGUGACCACCUUGGAAGUCCUAAUGUUUUUUAUC